CGUGAUCGUUUAAAACUGAUAAAAGUUACAUUUCAUUGUAUUAGUCAAUAACUUGAAUUAAAUGUGGUACACAUAGCAACUCAAGAACCCUUCCUUGUGGUUAAAGUACUAUUCUUUCACGAAUUAAAUGAGGUUAGUUGAUUCAAGGGAAGUUGUCGUUCCGAAAGUUCUAGUUUAACCCUAUGAAAUAAAUAUGUACUAGUUU